CCUACGGGUGGCAGCAGUGGGGAAUAUUGGACAAUGGGCGAAAGCCUGAUCCAGCCAUGCCGCGUGUGUGAAGAAGGCCUUCGGGUUGUAAAGCACUUUCAGUGGGGAAGAAAGCCUUGGGGCUAAUACCCUCGAGGAAGGACAUCACCAACAGAAGAAGCACCGGCUAACUCCGUGCCAGCAGCCGCGGUAAUACGGAGGGUGCGAGCGUUAAUCGGAAUUACUGGGCGUAAAGCGCGCGUAGGCGGUCUAAUAAGCCGGUUGUGAAAGCCCCGGGCUCAACCUGGGAACGGCAUCCGGAACUGUCAGGCUAGAGUGCAGGAGAGGAAGGUAGAAUUCCCGGUGUAGCGGUGAAAUGCGUAGAGAUCGGGAGGAAUACCAGUGGCGAAGGCGGCCUUCUGGACUGACACUGACGCUGAGGUGCGAAAGCGUGGGUAGCAAACAGGAUUAGAUACCCCGGUAGUC
rnacentral:rRNA from 1 species